rnacentral:rRNA from 1 species
UACGUAGGGACCGAGCGUUGUCCGGAAUCAUUGGGCGUAAAGAGCGUGUAGGCGGCCACUUAAGUCCUGCGUGAAAUCUUGCGGCUCAACCGCAAGCGGUCGUGGGAAACUGGGUGGCUAGAGUGCGGGAGAGGAGAGUGGAAUUCCUGGUGUAGCGGUGAAAUGCGCAGAUAUCAGGAGGAACACCGGUGGCGAAGGCGGGUCUCUGGGCAACAACUGACGCUGAGGAGCGAAGCGUGGGGAGCGAACAGG